rnacentral:tRNA from 1 species
GGGCGGAUGUAGCCAAGUGGAUUAAGGCAGUGGAUUGUGA